rnacentral:rRNA from 1 species
AUUGAACGCUGGCGGCAGGCCUAACACAUGCAGGUCGAGCGGAUGACGGGAGCUUGCUCCUUGAUUCAGCGGCGGACGGGUGAGUAAUGCCUAGGAAUCUGCCUGGUAGUGGGGGAUAACGUUUCGAAAGGAACGCUAAUACCGCAUACGUCCUACGGGAGAAAGCAGGGGACCUUCGGGCCUUGCGCUAUCAGAUGAGCCUAGGUCGGAUUAGCUAGUUGGUGGGGUAAUGGCUCACCAAGGCGACGAUCCGUAACUGGUCUGAGAGGAUGAUCAGUCACACUGGAACUGAGACACGGUCCAGACUCCUACGGGAGGCAGCAGUGGGGAAUAUUGGACAAUGGGCGAAAGCCUGAUCCAGCCAUGCCGCGUGUGUGAAGAAGGUCUUCGGAUUGUAAAGCACUUUAAGUUGGGAGGAAGGGCAGUAAGUUAAUACCUUGCUGUUUUGACGUUACCGACAGAAUAAGCACCGGCUAACUCUGUGCCAGCCGCCGCGGUAAUAC